rnacentral:rRNA from 1 species
AUGACAGGAUCUAGAGUCAAUCCAUGGGCUUUAUCGAUCGCGGGAGACGUGCCACCACCUAUGCAAAUUCCACAACGAUCACGAGAGGUGCAUAAACAUCCAAAUGCACAUGAUCAGGUUAAUGUUUCUAUACCAUCAUUUAAUGGCUGUUUUAGACCUGCUUUAUAUAUUGAAUGGGAGUUCGACAUAAAUAUUAUAUUUGCUUCCCAUAAUUUUGAUGAACGUAAAAAAGUUAAGGUUGCGGUUGGUUCUUUCACUGGUUAUGCUUUAGUUUGGUGGAGUGAAUAUUGUCGGUUACACCCUGAUUAUAUACCUAUUACUUGGGAUGAUUUGAAACUUGCCAUGCGACAUACAUUCAUCCCCGCUUAUUAUACUCGUGACAUGAUUAAAAAGUUACAACAUUUAAAACAAGGUAGUGACACUGUAACGAAAUAUUAUGAUGAUUUACAAACUACCUUGUUGCAUUCCUCUUUAGAAGAAAGUGAAGAAGAAUUUAUGGAUAGAUUUUGGGGAGGAUUAAACCGUGACAUUCAGGAGAUACUAAUUCAUGAAACAUGUUAUCCUAUGGACCGUUUGUUUCGUCUUGCUUGCAAAGCUGAACAGGAGAUAACAAGACGUGUUGCCCACAAGAUAAACAAGUGGAAGGUGCAAAUCCCACGAGUUGCGACGGUUGUUCCUUCCACCACUGCGUCUCCUAUGGUAACAACAUCCAUUGUUGAGAGCACUACAUCAGCUCCACCAUGUGACGUGUCGCCACCUAGAGUGCCUACAUCAUCUUUGUUGAUCAUAAGAGGUAAUGACAAAGGUACCGAUCUUCCACCUCCACAUGAGUAUGAUGAAUUCCUUGUCAAUUUAAAUGAACCAUGCGAUGAGCUACCCACUACUUUGAUCACACCAGCUAUUUUAGAGGACUAUGUUCUUGAUUUGACUUUACCAUGUGAUCAAACAAUUUUGAGUGAACCCAUUGAAUUAACUAUUGAUGCAAAAGAACCAUGUGAAUCAGUGAAAAGAUCAGAUUUGGAUCAAAUACAUUUGAAAAUAGUUGUUCCAAUGUUUAAUCAUUUUGAUAUGACCUCUAAUCUUGGUGAUGGUUCAUCAAGGUUGGGAUGGUUUAAUGAUGAGCAUUGCCAGUCUUUUAUUAUGAAUAAGAGCUUCACUUAUAUGUGCAAACUGAGUUGCAAUAUUUUCAUGCCUUUGACUUCUUGUGAUAAUAUAUUGGCUUUAUUUUUCACGACUUUUGAAGGGUGCUCUUGUAUAACUGUGUCACAUGUGCCACAACUGAGAUCAGUUAAAAUGGAUGACAUAUGCAUAUACAACGUGUACACCUUGUCUCUAUUGUUAGCCAUAUUUCAGAUUAAGCAACGCCGAAGACGGCUUUGUUUUCAAGAAGGGGGGAUGAUGAGGACAUGGCUACCACAGUUACACCCAUAUCCCCUGUUGUUUUACCUCUUGGAACAGUUGCUAGAGCUCAGAUACGCCAAUUAA